GAUCCGUUGGUGAACCAGCGGAGGGAUCAUUACCGAGUUUACAACCCCCAAACCCAAUGUGAACCAUACCAAACUGUUGCCUCGGCGGGGUCACGCCCCGGGUGCGUCGCAGCCCCGGAACCAGGCGCCCGCCGGAGGGACCAACCAAACUCUUUCUGUAGUCCCCUCGCGGACGUUAUUUUUACAGCUCUGAGCAAAAAUUCAAAAUGAAUCAAAACUUUCAACAACGGAUCUCUUGGUUCUG
rnacentral:misc_RNA from 1 species